CCUUGGCCGCUGUGUUUGCAUGCUCUUCACCCUGCUCCUGCCCACUCUGCUUGUCAGCUUUCCUCAGUCCUGAAAGAUCCUUAGUGCCUGGAUUUUGUCAUCCAGCCCUGCAGGAUGCUCCCAUUUGUCCUGAGGAAGGCUGUCCCAGAUGGAGAAGAGGAGAUGGAGCUGGAUACCAAGAUUGAUAGAGAGGAGGAUAUGGAGACGGAGGGAGAAGACCCUGGGGAGGAGGAGAUGGAGGUGGAGGUGGAGGUGACGGUGGAAGAAGAGAUGGAUGUGGAUAUGGAAGAGUCCAUUGAGGACAUGGACAUUGAUUAAAAAGGUGCGAUGGACAUCAUGGAGGGAGAUGCCACCUUUUUGUACAUACGUUUUACACUUUGAUGUUGUCUUUAGGAUAUAGGUUUUAUGGUGUUUAUCUUCUGUAAAUACGUUUCAUAUAUUUUUUGUUAGAUAGGUUUUUAUGUAUAUAUGUUCUAUCGAUUGUUGUUGUUACAAAUAUUCUUGCAAUAUAAAUAUAUUCUGUAUUUUUGCUGCUGUUCUUCUCUAAUAAACAAAUUUUAUUUUUCACACCCCAGUUCUCCUUGCAUUUGCUUCAGGCACAGGCAGCAUAUUGCCAAGGUGUAGUUUCCACUUGCUCCAGGUUCCCAGGGCUGGAGGUCAGAAGUAGAUGAAGGGGAAAAAAUCCACAAUUAAGAGUGUCCAUGACACCCAGAGCCAAAAGAAGCCCAGGGAAGCACGUGCUCCAAACCACAGCAGAAAUGUAGUGAGAGCUCUGGAGGGAACAAAAGAAAGAGGAAGCUUGAAGAAAGGAAAAAACGUCUCCCCACAAGUUGUUUUGCUUUUUUUUCAUUGAGAGUCUCUUCUACCAUGUGGUGGAAACCCAGAAAAAUGAAGGUCAGAAGAAGCAUGGUUUAUUGGGAACAUUCCUGCAUUGUAGACAAUCCUUGUGCAAAUCAUUCCAUGCAGCACUCACAUAUUUAAUUGCUUCUCUUCCUGGGGAAGCAGAGUUGCUUAAUUUACUCCAAGCAAGAUUUUCUCCGUCCUCCCUGGCAAAGAACAAGCUCCCAUCCUGGCAAGUGCUCGCUGCUUUCCUUAACACUCAUCACACCCAUG